ACCAGCCCACUCACUCUUCAGGUAAUUCAGUCUUACUCCUUCCUGCAUUGUUCUGCAGAUUACUACUACCCUUCUUGUUUGUGAGUAAAUUUAAUCACUAUUUUCCUGUUGUGUGCGUAUCAGAGACCUUUGGAGAGGAUUAAUUUCAGGGGAUGAUGCAAACCAUUUAUCUAGGAGCAUCAUACUGUAAUUUGGAUGCCGCGGGAUAAUAAGGUGUAGUGGAGUACAUGAAUGUGAAUUAACUACUUCAGACAACACCUUGGCAAGUCACCUUCUAUGGUUGCAGGUUCUGAUAGUUCAGUUUAUCUACCUUGUGCCGAUUGAUUGGAUAUGUUGGAUGUAAUACAUGCUCACAUCUCACGUCAUCUAAUUGUCCCAUGAAAUUUUAGUGAAUUUCGUAAUUGCUGUUAUGUGCUUGUAAUCAUUUCAUUUUGGCAUGAGUACAAAUGGAUGCUUUGUCCCUUUUGCAAUUA